GACGAACGCUGGCGGCGUGCUUAACACAUGCAAGUCGAACGGAAAGGCCCUGCUUUUGUGGGCUUCUCGAGUGGCGAACGGGUGAGUAACACGUGAGUAACCUGCCCUUGACUUUGGGAUAACUUCAGGUAACUUGGGCUAAUACCGGAUACGAGCUCCUGCUGCAUGGUGUGGGUUGGAAAGUUUCGGCGGUUGGGGAUGUACUCGCUGGUUAUCAGCUUGUUGGUGGGGUAGUGGCUUACCAAGGCUUUGACGGGUAGCCGGCCUGAGAGGGUGACCGGCCACAUUGCGACUGAGGUACGGAGCAGACUCCUACGGGAGGCAGCAGUGGGGAAUAUCGCAGAAUGGGAGGAAGCCUGAGGCAGCAACGCCGCGUGCGGGAUGACGGCCUUCGGGUUGUAAACCGCGUUCGGAUGUGACGAAGCGUUAGUGACGGUAAUGGGUAAAGAAGCACCGGCUAACUACGUG
rnacentral:rRNA from 1 species